GUCAAUAUAGUUUAAAAAAAAAYACCAGACUGUGAAUCUGAAGAUAGGAUAUAAAUAUCCUUAUUUACC
rnacentral:tRNA from 1 species